GUCGCGCGCAUAGAGGUAUCUUGCGACUGAUCUAAUUGGCGGACGGGUGAGUAAUGCUUAGGAAUCUGCCUAUUAGUGGGGGACAACAUUUCGAAAGGAAUGCUAAUACCGCAUACGUCCUACGGGAGAAAGCAGGGGAUCUUCGGACCUUGCGCUAAUAGAUGAGCCUAAGUCGGAUUAGCUAGUUGGUGGGGUAAAGGCCUACCAAGGCGACGAUCUGUAGCGGGUCUGAGAGGAUGAUCCGCCACACUGGGACUGAGACACGGCCCAGACUCCUACGGGAGGCAGCAGUGGGGAAUAUUGGACAAUGGGCGGAAGCCUGAUCCAGCCAUGCCGCGUGUGUGAAGAAGGCCUUAUGGUUGUAAAGCACUUUAAGCGAGGAGGAGGCUACUUUAGUUAAUACCUAGAGAUAGUGGACGUUACUCGCAGAAUAAGCACCGGCUAACUCUGUGCCAGCAGCCGCGGUAAUACAGAGGGUGCAAGCGUUAAUCGGAUUUACUGGGCGUAAAGCGCGCGUAGGCGGCUAAUUAAGUCAAAUGUGAAAUCCCCGAGCUUAACUUGGGAAUUGCAUUCGAUACUGGUUAGCUAGAGUGUGGGAGAGGAUGGUAGAAUUCCAGGUGUAGCGGUGAAAUGCGUAGAGAUCUGGAGGAAUACCGAUGGCGAAGGCAGCCAUCUGGCCUAACACUGACGCUGAGGUGCGAAAGCAUGGGGAGCAAACAGGAUUAGAUACCCUGGUAGUCCAUGCCGUAAACGAUGUCUACUAGCCGUUGGGGCCUUUGAGGCUUUAGUGGCGCAGCUAACGCGAUAAGUAGACCGCCUGGGGAGUACGGUCGCAAGACUAAAACUCAAAUGAAUUGACGGGGGCCCGCACAAGCGGUGGAGCAUGUGGUUUAAUUCGAUGCAACGCGAAGAACCUUACCUGGCCUUGACAUAGUAAGAACUUUCCAGAGAUGGAUUGGUGCCUUCGGGAACUUACAUACAGGUGCUGCAUGGCUGUCGUCAGCUCGUGUCGUGAGAUGUUGGGUUAAGUCCCGCAACGAGCGCAACCCUUUUCCUUAUUUGCCAGCGAGUAAUGUCGGGAACUUUAAGGAUACUGCCAGUGACAAAUG
rnacentral:rRNA from 1 species